UGUGUGUGUGUGUGCGGGCACACUUACGCAGGCUACGGUGUUGAGCGGAGGCAUGUGCCAGAUCCUGCGGGUGGAGGAGGCUGUACCAGGAGCAGGACCGUAAAGCUGCCACAUCAAAGCCCAGAUAGGAGCUCACGCUGCAGGAAAGAGUGGGCGGUCAUUCGUGACGUCAACGUCAAACGCCAAAGAUCAAAGGUCACGCUACACGACCUACCUGUCCUGGGCAGCCUGCAGCCGCAUGUCGCGGUCGUGCUGCGAGUGGAAACAGGCCAGGAACGGGUUGGCGUCCCCCUGAGGAGCGCCGGGCGCGCUCUCGGAUGCCCCCGAGCGGGCGGGGUGAGGCUCCAAAGGGGAGCAGAAGCACACCCAGACCGGGUUGGAGGACCAGUAGGUGCCGGCGGCGGCGGCGGGGGCGGUCGGCGAGACGGAGGGAGCAGAAAUGCAGCGAGCUCGGAUCAGAACCAGCUUGUUCCCGGCGCUCUGCCUGCGCACCGACUUGGAGGUGUUGAAACGACAACGGAAGAGGCGAUCUGCGGAUGGGAGAGAAGAUCAUCAGGACUCGAACGCAACACAAAGACGCAUUUCAAAAGCGUCCCGUCUUCUCACCCGUCUCAGGGGAGGUGGAUCUCGCCAGGUUGUUUCUCAUGGCGAGCUGAUCCGAGGCGUCGAUGAUGUCGUACACGCUGUCCCCCUGCGCCACGAGAUCCACCUGACGCGACAGACGAGCCCACCGGAUGAAGCAAAAGCGCGCGCGGCGGCUCCGACGCAUCUUUAAUCAGGAGCGUGGACUCACCAUGGAGUGGCCCAGGUGCUCGGAGACGCUGUCGGACAGGUAGAGCAGCUUCCCCUCUCCUGUGAGCAGCAUCAGGAAGCCCGGCAGCGCCUGCAUCAAGUCGGCGAGCUCGUGGAAAGACAGGAAGCCCGCGCUCUGCUCUCCGGGUGCGCUUCCCGCUUCUAGAUUUGGUCAAAAAACACACACGGGGGGAGAAUCAGCUGGGUUUCAGGCUGCAGCGCAUCAGCACCACGGAUAGAGACCAAGUGUACUAUACGCGCUGCGUUUCAGCACCACGGACAGCGCCGUGUGUGUUGAAGAACACUUGUUGAUGUGCUCUUACCCUGUGAAGUGAAGAAGACGGAUUUCCUGGUGUACAUGCAGGCAAGGGACAUGAUGUGCAGGUACGACAGCCUGGCUUUGUCCGUGUCCGAGAUGGGCAACAAGUCCUUCAGGUUCCGGAUCUCGGCGUUGAUCUGGUCCCGGCGAGCCUUGGACGCUCCUUUGGUCGAGCGGUACAUGCUUGCUUGAUGCUGCAGUGCAGGUCGGAGGAUGGAGAAAAGGAAGGACAAUCCCACUUCACACUCGCAGGUGCCGAUCUGUGGAAGUGAUGUUAUUGGACUUUCAUCGCAGCUCUUUUUUUCCAGAUAUUUUGGGAAAGGUUCUCCUGGAGCUCCUCUCCUCUCCGGAUGGAGAGCGGCUGAACGGGCGGCUGUGCUCGCCGCGUCUCUCAGCACUGAAGUCCGGAUUCGGGGAAUGUGUUUGAGCGGGGACUCUGCUCGCAGGGCUCUUAUAUAGCUUGGGACCAGGGGGGCCCCCGACGCGCCAACACCGACGUAAGAAGAAGGAGGGAGGAGGAUGAGAGAGAUGUCUCAUAUCAGUGGAUGCUGGAGCUCCCUCCUCCCUCCCUCCUCACCUCCCUACUCCCUCCUUCCUCCCUCUCCUCUCGGUGACUGUGCCCGACGUCAGCUCUUCCCUCUCCCCGGUGAUGACGUCGGGAUGAAAUCGGGAGCUCCGGCGACGCAAAAAGCCCGAUUUGGACAAAACCGAGUAAGGGGCGGAGCCAGCGUAGAAACGUAAACGGAGUCACCGAGCUCAGGAAGGGGAGGGGGAGGAGGAGGUUGCGUCGAAGAAUGUCUGACUACAAUUCAUCUCGGAGCUUGUUAGUGAACGGUGCUUGUUUUUUUUUUUUUUUUUUCAGGCGACAUCGAACGUCUCAUUUUGAAUGGAGGUCAGUCGUAAAAGAUUACAGCAUUAGAACCAACACCCGCCCGUUUAUCUAGCAGAUCUUAUCUAACAGAUCUUAUCUAGCAGAUCUUAUCUAUUUUUCGGCAGCUGCCGAGUGAAUGAAGAAAGGAAUGAAUGAAUGCAGCAUCCUGCGGCAGCCAUGUCUCUCCCCACGUGAGAAGAUGUGAUGUUUCUAAAAAUAGAUCCGUGUACCUAUCCAUCUACUGGAUCUCUAGCUGGCUUACCGGCGCCCCCUGCUGACGCCCCCCUGGAGCCACCCCCCCUGCUAUUUAGACCACUUAGGAGGGAAAAAUACAUAUUUUUAUUAUUAUUUAUUGUUAUUAUUAUUACAUAUUGGAGCUAGGAUGUGUGUUUUUAUGUAUAUUUUAUUGGUAAUGAUUCUGCUAUGCUUUUAUUUCCCUAUUCCAAAGUGGUGAGCAUGUCAUAGGAAAACACACUUUCUUUUUUCUGUGCGUUCUAAAGAUAUAAGAAGAGGUAAAAAAAAAAGGCAGCUAAUUAAUGCACGCCAUGGGACGCGGCAAAGAGCUCCAAGGUUUUUGUGAGCGUGUAGUAAAAAGGCACGCUGAUGCUAACAUGUCAUAUCAUGUCAACGUGUCUUGGUGCGUUGAUGUCACAUGGCAACAUGGAAAGGAAGCAACAAGCUCCAUUAUGUAGCGUCACUUUUGGCUAGCGGCCUGAGUCUGAAGCUAGUCGCUAGCACUCGCUCGCUAACUACGUAUACGCCAGUAACGUAGUUCUUGGGCGUAAUAAUGUUCACAACAAUAAUAAUAAUAUCUUUGUUUCAUAUGCAGCUUUAUGAAAAUUCGAGUUCCUCGCUAAGCAUGUUUGAAACAAAGAAGCCGGCAAAGAAGAAAAGACCAACGCAUGAGUGUUUCCAAAAAGGGAAACACAAACAUGGCGGGUCAUGACAUCACUUUUCCCUUUUUAGCAUUUCUGUGCGCCGCGUCACACGCUCCUUCAUCAAUAGAAGGAUCAAUUGAUGUCCUUAAGUACGUCAGCGUGCAAAGCUUGUGUGCUAUUUCUGGUUUGCAUGUGACAAUUUGAGGAGCAAAGGUCAUGUGAUUCAUGCCGUCUUUCAUAGGAACACGGGAGAAGCUGUCAUGCGGUUGGAAGUGGCGCCAUCGAGUCUUCAUCCUCAACACAGGAGGACGAGGAGGCUGGAGUGUAAAGAAAGGCGGUUUAUGGAAGUGCCGUCGUGACAUAUCUAAUAUGGCGGCGACGUUGACGUACGACUCAGCGCUGGAUGAGUCUGCACUCGCCUGUCAACACGGCUAAGCUAAUAACCCGAAAAAUGAUUGAAUUCAUCGGACGAGAGCAGCUUUUCUCAGCGGAGAAAGACACAAAGUCUCCGUGAAGAAGACUGCUCAGCUUCUGGAAGUUUCACAAGUCUUCAGAAAAAGAAGACGUUUUCCUCGUCGCCGUGACUCCCAAAGUUGAUCCCAGAGAAAUGGUCUUCAUGAAAGAAGUGCACGGUGGUGAGGAGAGGAGGAUUUCAUCGGCGCGACGGCAAAGAUGGCGGCGCGUACGGCGUGUCCUGUUACAUACCGACACAGACGCUCCCGCUCCCGGUCGCCACAGUGGUGCUGAUGCAGGGGUUGCCAUGGCGACAGCAUGUUGGAUGGUCUUGACGGUUCCCGGCCUGGCUGAGAUCUUCCACACCAGCCUUGUGAGAUGUCACCUGCAUCGGGUUCCUUCUGGAUCCACCUUUGGGGGGGCAACAGCUCACACCCCUCCUUUACAUUCACCAACCUUCUCGUCGGGGUUGAGAGUCUUGUGUAAUAUACUUGGCUUUCGUGGCAGCUCGCCCCCGCAGCCGCACCGUAGCAACGCUUUGUUGUUUCUUGGUAACGGCCUUUAUAUAACAUCUAAGGAAGCCAAGGUAGCAAGCAUACUUCACAUCCUUAUGGAAAUACUUUUGCAAAACUCUGAAAAGCUGACUGUGUGUGUGUGUGUGUGUGUGUGUGUGUGUGUGUGCGCGCAGAUUUUGAAAGCCAGAAGUCAACCUGAGGUGACGGCAUGGCUGUGCAAAACACACUUCCUGCUUCCUCUCAAUCACAUGUCAUACAAGACAUUAUUAGAGACCUCUAGACAUGAAUUAGCACCCCUAUAGUCACCUUUAGACUCCUAUUACGCAGUAGAGUAGGCAUAAUAAGGGAAACUAAGACACAGUGUUCACCCCCGUCCAAAAAGCUGCAGGUUUGGGACCCUACACUAUUUUUUUUUGGAGCGAUGAUGAAAUUAGAACAAGGUGUGUGUGUGUGUGCGCAGAUUUUGAAAGCCAGAAGUCAACCUGAGGUGACGGCAUGGCUGUGCAAAACACACUUCCUGCUUCCUCUCAAUCACAUGUCAUACAAGACAUUAUUAGAGACCUCUAGACAUGAAUUAGCACCCCUAUAGUCACCUUUAGACUCCUAUUACGCAGUAGAGUAGACGUGAUAAGGGAAACUAAGACACAGUGUUCACCCCAGUCCAAAAAAGCUGCAAGCUAACACUUAAUUAGCUGCUAAGCUAAUCAAGUGUUGCCUUGUAAUGAGGCACUUCCAGAAAAAAAGCAUUUCACACUCAAGCUUGAUUUGAUUUUGUGAUUUUUUUUUGUUCAAGAUGCUUUUUGAAGUUUGGGAUGGCUCUGGACGCUGGCUUUCACAGGAAGUCAUCACAGGAAGUUGCGCCUGAGUCCAGGCGAGGAGAAAAAAAAUGGGACUAUGGGAAUAUGUCUUUCCAAGGUUUGAGUCAAGAGCACGAGAUGUAAGUACCGGUUUCUGCUCGUCUGUGUAGCAUUAUAACGUGUGCAUACAAGGGAAUGCUAACACAGCAGGUGGCCCCUCCCCCUCCAUACUCUGUACUAUACUUCUGUACUGUACCGUAUGUAAACACUCACAUGUACACCAUGUAUGCAUUCCCACGCGCGAACACAUCUCUACUUUCUAUGCCAACAGGAAAUGAUGCCACACACACACACACACACAGCCCGCCUACCCCGCUAACACACUUAACGCCAACGCCAGACGAGGUUACGUAACGUUCGUGUGGCCCACUACUCCUAUUGAAUAUUUUUUUUUUAAACGUAUGUGUUGAUGAAGAAGGCAUAGAAAUGUAGGCUGGAUGACCAGGAUGUUAUAAAAGCAGGCAGGCUUAGAUCUCUGGGAUGUGGCGCCCCCUGGCGGACACACGCGGCGCCUCAUGAUUACGUAAGGGAGAGCUGUGAGUCAUCACCCCCCCUAGCGAGGACAGAUGGAAGGUGUGUUGGGGAGGGGGUAAGGUUUUCCUCACCUCCCGUUUUGGGGAUGGUGGUUGAAAGAACAGGACGCUUGAAGGUUAAAAGGAGUUCCCCGAUCUUUUUAAAAUUUAUAUUCCUGUAAUUUUGGUGCAUUAAUAGAAAUUAUUACAUGACUGUAUUAUAGUAUAUCGUGGUAUUUCAUGAAAAUAUACACCACAAAUACAUGAUUAUUCCCAUAAAAGUACAUGUAUUAUAUUUAAAAAAACACAAGUCACAAGUAAGUGAACAAAUAUAACAGAUGGGGGGGGUAGGAUUUAAUACGCUUUGUUUCUUCCUACUCCUUUUGGAACUGAUUAUUAAUUAUUGAUUAUGUUCUAUGGCCCUACCGAUGCCCAGAGUGAACUUUCUUCCUGCCCGAUAGGAGGGGGGGGAAACAGACACUUCGUGUUUGUUUGCUGCGUGAUGAACUUAUUUCUUUGUGACACCCCAGCUUAAUCGUGCAUCCAAACCAUGUGAUCUGCAGGCACGCCCCCACCCCCUUCAACAGGAAGGCGGCAUGCAGUAAUGAAGGUGCAUUCAGGGACACGGGUAAAAUGGUAUAUUGUUUAAUAGUAGUUUGAAAAAGUACAAAGACAACGUGACAAACCUAUGAGGUGAAACGGUGAAGGUCGUGUGCACCCUGAGGUGAGACGGGACGGGGGGGGGGGUUGGGGGUGGUGGUAGUGCACCAGAAGGCAACGUGUGUUACGGGCCCCGAAGCCAGGAGCGGAGCGGUGGAGCAGUGGAAGAGCGGCAGCCAGCAGCUCUUCGCUGGCUGAUGCCGACUAAAACCGAAGAAGACGUGGUAAUAUUUCACUUAAUAAGCUGGCCUGGCGUCACAGUUUUUUCAUCUUCCUCUUCCUUCCUCCCGCCGCGUCCUUUAAAAGGUGUACGGCCCAAUGUAGAUGGAGAGUCUGAGGGCGGAGCUGCUCUGGUAGCUGCCCUGGUAGCUGAGCAGGGGGUUGACGGACACCAUCUCCAGGUCCAGCGUGUACUCUCUGGGUCCUGAGACGGCACGGGCCAGGACCAGCAUGGCGCUGAUGUUGUUGAUUUGCUGCGAGGGCGCACACACAACGGCAGGGACGUCAGCACGGCGGCCACGAAUCACGGACGCAAGACCUUCUCACCCUGAUGUAGAAGUCGCCGUUGUCGUCGCCCGAGCGGAUCCUGAAGGUGUUGUAAGCCCCCGGGGACACGCUGGUGGCCUGGAUCUGGAAGAUGUCGGAGGGCACGGAGCGCUCCGAGGUGAUGCUCAUGUAGCGGUGCACGAUGGAGAAAGGUACGUCUCGACAGGCGGGCUUGGUGGCGGGACACACGCAGCGACUACGAGAGAAUAAAAACCAUCACAGCUGCAGUUCUCAAGUCAGCCAGCAGAGGGCAGUAAAGCGUCACUAAUGACCCAGUAACGUUUUCACUCAUUUACUCAGCUGUACUUUAGAAAACUAAGUAGUUUGAUUGAUUAAUGUGUUUUAAGUACUUUAUACUAAGUUGCAAAAAUCCAGCCCAAACUAUUAACACCCUGGAUUUAUUUAUUUUAUAAGUGAUAAUACAGAAAAACACCCAAAAAAUUAAUAAAAACCAAAAUUUGACAUUUAUUUAUUUAUUGUUAUUAACAUUAUAAAUAUCUAUUUAUUUAAAUAUUUAUGUAUUAAUAUAUUUAUUAAUUUUAUUUAUUUAAAUAAUAUAUUCAUAUUUUAUUUGACUUUUAAAUUUGAAAAUUUGCAAAAAUAAAUUUAAAAUAGAAAUGUAAAUAAAAACAAAAAAUAGAUAUAAUUAAGAUGAAGGGGUAUUGCAAUUUGAUGAGAGUAAAUUUGUAAUAUUGCGGGGGGGAAAUAAUAUCAUUUUAGUAGCACUGAGCUGAAAAUACUACAGAAAAUAAAUAUGAUGUAAUAUCAGAACCAAAUAACAUUUCCAUAUUUUGGAAAUGGUGCUGGGUAAGAUUUGUAAUAUUGUAAUCUGAAAGUGAAAGUGUUAUGGGAAUAAAGUCCAAAUAAGAAGUGACGUUGGAAAGGAAGGUGGACUUACUUAUCCGACACCUGCACGUACGGGUCCUGGCAGCGGUUGGCGUCCACACACUGGUAGCGGCCAUGGAGAUUGACGCAGGUCUGCGUGUCAGUGCACUGAUGCUCGCCCGUUUCGCACUCAUUGACGUCUGUGAAGGACACAAUGACAGCUGCAGAGGCUGGGGGUUUGAGGGGGGGCGGCGGCGGUGUGCGGGCGCGGUCACUCACCCUGGCAGAGUCGCGUGCCUUGCAGCCGGUAGCCCUCGGGGCAGACGCAGGAGAACUUUCCCGGCUCGUUGACGCACUGAUGCUGGCACAGGUAGCUGGAGUAGCUGCACUCGUCCACAUCUGUCACAGCGGACACCUUGUCACUCAAAUGGAGGCGGGGUUAAGGGUCGGCGUCGGGUCGAGGUCUUACCGUUGCAAGCAAAGCCGUCCGGGCCCAGCUCGUAUCCGUGGUCGCAGCGACACAGGAAGGUGCCGUAUGUGUUGUAGCAUCUCUGAGAGCAGGGAGCCCCCAUGUCACACUCGUUCACGUCUACCAUGGACACACGGACAAGCACACGCUAAGAAAAUGGCGGACAUUGAUUCACACAGUUUGAUAUUAUACUCUACAUUCUUCACUAAUUGAAAGCCGACGUUAAAUUACCAAGAAUGACAUUUAAAGUUGAUGGUUCCACCCAUGAUGAGCUAGCGUUAGCUGGUCAGCACCGUUUCUGGAAGUGAUGUCAUCAGGGUGGCGAGUAAACAAACAUUUGUGGAGGUAGAUGCUGGACUUCAUCCAAAUAGUAGUAAUACCAAAAGUGAUGUGUUGCUGCUGGAUGUUCAUCAUAUCCCAGUCAUACUGUAAGUUUGUUUUCUUUUCCAAAAGAGGAAAAUUUAAGACUAAAAUGGAGGAGGAAAGUUCCGUUGUUUGCAGUGAUCAUUUCACUGAUGACUGCGAUGAAGGAACACCUUGAAAGUAUGCUAGAAACGCAUUUUGAAAAAGGAUGCUAUUCCGCCGGUACGCAGGAAGUCAUGUCUUGGUCCUAUAAUGUCUUCUAGACAGUAUUCCAUGGUAGCGACAAGGCUGUAAAGGCCCUUUACGGAUAAGGAUAAGGAACUCCGCAGCCAUUUCCAUUACCAACAUCUCCAUGUCUUCGGGCUUGAGUACUGAAAUGGUGACUGUAAUGACCGUAAACAUCCUCCAUGGUACACCGCCAUGUUUGUUUACCUGGGAGAUACUACGUACUCCCAUGGCGUCGCUAUCAUGUCAUCACAUAGCUAGCUCGUCAUGGCUUUGCCAUCAAGUACAAAUGUCAUUCUAGAUCUUCUAUUGUUGGUUUUCCAGAAGCGACCAAUGUAGAACAACAUUCCAUUGAUCCGUCGACGUUCCGUUUGGUCGGGAUUGUUUAGGGAGUCCUUCCGGAAAUACAAUGCCUUAUUACUCACCCACGCACGAGCGGUUGUUUCCCGCUAGCUGGAAUCCGGGCUCACACUGGCAUGAGAAGGAACCGGGAACGUUGACGCAGCGAUGCUGACAGUAUCUGUACCUGCACUCGUCGAUGUCUGAACACAGACGGGGAAUUAAAUUCUGUUGAUUCACACCACACAUACGUGUCCCUGAAUGCACCUCGCUGUGACAGCAAGGAGGUGUUUAUGAGUUGGAGAUAUUUGGUGUUGGAAUGGCGCUGAUGUUGAUGCGUUCAGGUGGUCACCGUAUGAACGAGCGUCAGAGGUCCGGCCUACCAUGGCGUGCAUGUGGUAAUUACGUUAAAAAUAUUACCGUAGUCAAUGAAAACAAUAUCUUCAGACGGGCGUGUGUGCUGAGUUCAAGAGACAUAAAAAAGAGCGAGGCGCGGCCGUUCCUCACCGAUGCACUCGGUGCCGACCUUGCGGUAGCCGUCGGGGCACUGGCAGCUGAAGGCCCCCAGGGUGUUGAUGCACUGCUGGCUGGGCUGGCAGUCGUGCUCGUCGCGCUCGCACUCGUCCACGUCUGGGUCAUGUGACAGAGGAGACACAGGAAUGUUGUUAUGGUGCGCCCCGCAGCUGGGGGGGGGGGGGUGUCGUCAUGUUGAAGUGUGGCUUGGACACGGCAGCUGUCCUCGUGUCCAAUUCCCCCCUCCGUCCCUCCCCCUCGUUUAGCCACCUGUCCCCCUCCCUAACAUGUCCGCCAUGCCCCCCCGCGCACACCCACCCACGCAGCUGUCUCCCUGCGGCUCGUAGCCCAGAGGACAGGGGUUGAAGGCCUCGGUGGGCGCGAUGGGGGGCUCGGGGGCCGGGAUGACCGAGGCGGAGCGGGGGAGACACAGGUAGCCUCCAUAAUGGUUGAAGCACUUCAUCUCCCCCUUGCAGGCAUCCGGGAUGGUCUCGCACUCGUUUAUAUCUGAUGGGAG